rnacentral:rRNA from 1 species
CCUACGGGCGGCAGCAGUGAGGAAUAUUGGUCAAUGGACGAGCGUCUGAACCAGCCAAGUAGCGUGAAGGAUGACUGCCCUAUGGGUUGUAAACUUCUUUUAUAUGGGAAUAAAAUGUUCCACGUGUGGGUUUUUGUAUGUACCAUAUGAAUAAGGAUCGGCUAACUCCGUGCCAGCAGCCGCGGUAAUACGGCGGAUCCGAGCGUUAUCCGGAUUUAUUGGGUUUAAAGGGAGCGUAGAUGGAUUGUUAAGUCAGUUGUGAAAGUUUGCGGCUCAACCGUAAAAUUGCAGUUGAAACUGGCAGUCUUGAGUACAGUAGAGGUGGGCGGAAUUCGUGGUGUAGCGGUGAAAUGCUUAGAUAUCACGAAGAACUCCGAUUGCGAAGGCAGCUCACUGGACUGCAACUGACACUGAGGCUCGAAAGUGUGGGUAUCAAACAGGAUUAGAUACCCCAGUAGUC